GAUGAACGCUGGCGGCGUGCCUAAUACAUGCCAGUCGAACGGGGAGUAGCAAUACUCUUAGUGGCGAACGGGUGAGUAACGCGUUGGUACCUGCCCCGAAGCGGGGGAUAACGGACCGAAAGGUCCGCUAAUACCCCAUGUGCUCGGUAACGAGUAAAGGUGAAAACCACUUUGGGAGGGGCCUGCGUCCCAUCAGCUAGUUGGUAAGGUAACGGCUUACCAAGGCGAUGACGGGUAGGGGACCUGAGAGGGUGGCCCCCCACAAUGGAACUGAAACACGGUCCAUACACCUACGGGUGGCAGCAGUAGGGAAUAUUGGUAAUGGGCGCAAGCCUGAACCAGCAACGCCGCGUGUGCGAUGACGGCCUUCGGGUUGUAAAGCACUUUUGACUGGGACGAGGAAGGACGGUACCGGUCGAAUCAGCCUCGGCGAACUACGU
rnacentral:rRNA from 1 species